UACAGAGGGUGCGAGCGUUAAUCGGAAUUACUGGGCGUAAAGGGUGCGUAGGCGGACUUGUAAGUUAGAUGUGAAAUCCCCGGGCUUAACCUGGGAGGGUCAUUUAAUACUGCGAGUCUAGAGACUAGUAGAGGGGAGUGGAAUUUCCGGUGUAGCGGUGAAAUGCGUAGAUAUCGGAAGGAACACCAGUGGCGAAGGCGACUCUCUGGGCUAGUUCUGACGCUGAGGCACGAAAGCGUGGGGAGCAAACAGG
rnacentral:rRNA from 1 species